GCGGGCGUGGCGGAACUGGAAGACGCGUUAGGUUCAGGGCCUAAUGAGAGAAAUCUCGUGGAGGUUCGAAUCCUCUCGCCCGCACAA
rnacentral:tRNA from 2 species